AGAGUUUGAUCAUGGCUCAGGACGAACGCUGGCGGCGUGCCUAAUACAUGCAAGUCGAGCGGGUUUAUUCCUUCGGGAAUAAACUAGCGGCGGACGGGUGAGUAACACGUAGGCAACCUGCCUGAAGGACUGGGAUAACUAUCGGAAACGAUAGCUAAGACCGGAUAACUGGUAUCUCCGCAUGGAGGUAUCAUGAAACACGGAGCAAUCUGUGGCCUUUGGAUGGGCCUGCGGCGCAUUAGCUAGUAGGUGAGGUAACGGCUCACCUAGGCGACGAUGCGUAGCCGACCUGAGAGGGUGAACGGCCACACUGGGACUGAGACACGGCCCAGACUCCUACGGGAGGCAGCAGUAGGGAAUCUUCCGCAAUGGACGCAAGUCUGACGGAGCAACGCCGCGUGAGUGAUGAAGGUUUUCGGAUCGUAAAGCUCUGUUGCCCUAGACGAACGAGUUAGAGAGUAACUGCUCUAACUGUGACGGUAUAGGAGAAGAAAGCCCCGGCUAACUACGUGCCAGCAGCCGCGGUAAUACGUAGGGGGCAAGCGUUGUCCGGAAUUAUUGGGCGUAAAGCGCGCGCAGGCGGUCAUGUAAGUUGGGUGUUUAAUCCCGGGGCUCAACCCCGGUUCGCAUCCAAAACUGUGUGACUUGAGUGUAGGAGAGGAAAGUGGAAUUCCACGUGUAGCGGUGAAAUGCGUAGAGAUGUGGAGGAACACAGUGGCGAAGGCGACUUUCUGGCUAUACUGACGCUGAGCGCGAAGCGUGGGAGCAA
rnacentral:rRNA from 1 species